rnacentral:rRNA from 1 species
UGGGGAAUAUUGCACAAUGGGCGGAAGCCUGAUGCAGCGACGCCGCGUGGGGGAUGACGGCCUUCGGGUUGUAAACCUCUUUCAGUGCAGAACAAGGCUCUUUGUGGGUUGAGGGUAUGCGCAGAAGAAGCGCCGGCUAACUACGUGCCAGCAGCCGCGGUAAUACGUAGGGCGCGAGCGUUGUCCGGAUUUAUUGGGCGUAAAGAGCUCGUAGGCGGUUUGUCGCGUCUGCUGUGAAAUCCUCUGGCUUAACUGGGGGCGUGCAGUGGGUACGGGCAGACGGAAGUGCGGUAGGGGAGACUGGAUUUCUUGGUGUGGGGGUGGAAUGCGAAGAUAGAAGGAGAAACACGGGUGGCGAAGGGGGGUCUCUGGGCGGUACCGGCGGCGGAGGAGCGAAGGAAGGGGAGCGAACAG